rnacentral:rRNA from 1 species
GGAUUAGUGGCGAACGGGUGAGUAACACGUGGGCAAUCUGCCCUUCACUCUGGGACAAGCCCUGGAAACGGGGUCUAAUACCGGAUAACACCGGCUUCCGCAUGGGAGCUGGUUAAAAGCUCCGGCGGUGAAGGAUGAGCCCGCGGCCUAUCAGCUUGUUGGUGGGGUAAUGGCCUACCAAGGCGACGACGGGUAGCCGGCCUGAGAGGGCGACCGGCCACACUGGGACUGAGACACGGCCCAGACUCCUACGGGAGGCAGCAGUGGGGAAUAUUGCACAAUGGGCGAAAGCCUGAUGCAGCGACGCCGCGUGAGGGAUGACGGCCUUCGGGUUGUAAACCUCUUUCAGCAGGGAAGAAGCGAAAGUGACGGUACCUGCAGAAGAAGCGCCGGCUAACUACGUGCCAGCAGCCGCGGUAAUACGUAGGGCGCAAGCGUUGUCCGGAAUUAUUGGGCGUAAAGAGCUCGUAGGCGGCUUGUCACGUCGGGUGUGAAAGCCCGGGGCUUAACCCCGGGUCUGCAUCCGAUACGGGCAGGCUAGAGUGUGGUAGGGGAGAUCGGAAUUCCUGGUGUAGCGGUGAAAUGCGCAGAUAUCAGGAGGAACACCGGUGGCGAAGGCGGAUCUCUGGGCCAUUACUGACGCUGAGGAGCGAAAGCGUGGGGAGCGAACAGGAUUAGAUACCCUGGUAGUCCACGCCGUAAACGUUGGGAACUAGGUGUUGGCGACAUUCCACGUCGUCGGUGCCGCAGC